rnacentral:rRNA from 1 species
GAGACCCACGCCAACAGUUGCCAGCACGUUCUCCGGAAUGGUGGGGACACUGUUGGGACCGCCUCUGCUAAAGAGGAGGAAGGAAUGGGCAACGGUAGGUCAGCAUGCCCCGAAUUACCCGGGCUACACGCGGGUUACAAUGGACAGGACAAUGGGAAUCGACACCGAGAGGUGAAGGCAAUCCCCUAAACCUGCCCUUAGUUCGGGUUGUGGGCUGCAACUCGCCCACAUGAAGCUGGAAUCCGUAGUAAUCGCGGAUCAACAUUCCGCGGUGAAUAU